UGGGGAAUUUUGGACAAUGGGCGAAAGCCUGAUCCAGCCAUGCCGCGUGCAGGAUGAAGGCCUUCGGGUUGUAAACUGCUUUUGUACGGAACGAAAAGCCUCUUUCUAAUAAAGAGAGGUCAUGACGGUACCGUAAGAAUAAGCACCGGCUAACUACGUGCCAGCAGCCGCGGUAAUACGUAGGGUGCAAGCGUUAAUCGGAAUUACUGGGCGUAAAGCGUGCGCAGGCGGUUUUGUAAGACAGAGGUGAAAUCCCCGGGCUCAACCCGGGAACUGCCUUUGUGACUGCAAGGCUGGAGUGCGGCAGAGGGGGAUGGAAUUCCGCGUGUAGCAGUGAAAUGCGUAGAUAUGCGGAGGAACACCGAUGGCGAAGGCAAUCCCCUGGGCCUGCAACCUGACGCUCAUGCACGAAAGCGUGGGGAGCAAACAGGAUUAGAUACCCUGGUAGUCCACGCCCUAAACGAUGUCAACUGGUUGUUGGGUCUUCACUGGCUCAGUAACGAAGCUAACGCGUGAAGUUGACCGCCUGGGGAGUACGCCGCAAGGUUGAAACUCAAAUG
rnacentral:rRNA from 1 species